CUUCUCUCAGAACCCUGCGUUCACUCUACCUGCACCCAAGCUUCUUUUGGUUUUCUUUUUUUAUCUCAGACUGUUGUGCCCAAGAUUGUGAAUCUGUGAAUCUGAGAAAUCACAAAUCACCGAGAAGCCAACACCAAUGCAAACACAUGAAGGUUUAUUUACAAGCUCGAGCUUGUGUCCAAGUAUACCCAACACAGUGGAGCGGGGACUUGGACCCCGAGGUGGGUUUUAGCUUAUUUUUAAGAGUUGGUCUCGGGGAACUCCUGAAGGGUGGAGUAAUUCCUCAAGUUUACAUUUUGAUAUGGGGCCUUCAAGGGCAUUGAGAUCUGUUCUAAUAGGGGCUUCCUGCCCUUGGACUGGGCUCAGUUUUUAUUCUAUUGUGGGGCUUGCUGUGUCCUGACAGUGAGCAUUCAGGAAGGAAAUGAUGGAUGUGACUCCCUUCUCAGGUGCAUCACAGAGAAUAAAUAAGGAGACUGAACAAAAAGAGCACAAGACAUUGGGGGCUUCGUCCAUAUCAGAAGGGACUCCUCAGAACCACAGGAUUCCCAGGAUAGAUGUGGGCCCGCAUCCACCCUGACAGGAACACCUGGGCUGCUUCAGGACCUGCAGGGAGGCUUCAGGAAGCUGUGGUGCUGCGUCCACUCUGGCAGGAGCUCCCGGGCCACUCAGGACAUAAUUUGAGUCUUCUGGAAGGACCCCCUGGAGGACUCUGGAGGCGCUGUUGGGGGUCACCUCCACAUCAGAAGGGACUACUCAGAACCACAGGGAGCCCACAGCCCCAUCAGGACCCGCGGUGAGUUUUCUGGGAGCCAUGGAGCCAUGUCCAGGCUUACAGGAGCCCUCAACCUCCUGAGGACCUGCUGUGAGACUUCCAGAGGAUGUGAGGCAUAGUCCACAGUGACAGGAGACCCGGCGUCCUCAGGACCCACUGACUAUGACUCAGGAACACGUGGGGCCACGUUCACACUGACAGGAUCCUGGCUUCCGCAGGACCCCCUGGAGGACUCUGGAGGCGCCAUUGGGGGCCACUUCCACAUCAGAAGGGACUCCUCAGAACCACAGGGUAAGUGAAUGGGUAGAAUGAAUGGUAGGGUCAGGGGAGGGGAGGCAGUUGGUGGUUAAGUUAGGUUAGAUGUUAGGGUUUAGUGAUUAUGCUUAUGGUUACGGAUUAGAGGAUAGCAUGAGGGAUAAGGGUA
rnacentral:lncRNA from 12 species